UAGUUUUAUGUUUGGGGGCCUCACAACCUGAGGGACUGAAUUAAGGGGUCGCGUCAUUAGGAAGGUUGAGAGCCACUGGUGUGGAUACACAUUUCCUGGGAAUUGUAGUCUGACCAGGUCUUUUUCCUUCUCUGCCAAGGAGUGCUGGUGCCUCACCCAAUCCCAACUCCCAGCACGGCUGCGCGGGAGUUCAAGCGCCAUCAAACCCCAUGAAUUCUACAGCGGAGCAGCGGCACCCUAAAGUUUCCUUUUCUGGCCAAGACACGUAAUCGCCGAUUCCAAAGCCAAGUCAUUUCCUGUAUUCCCCAAAGUAUUGUAAACUGCCUUGUGUAAGUAUUUAUUCACAUCUAAGUAUGGAAACGCCUCUUAAGUGGAAGUUCUUAAGAGUUCCAUUUAUGAUAAACAUGACGUAGAUGUGCGUAGGUGCCGCACUUUGCAGCGUUUCCAAGUCUGACACCACUGGGUUACUAUGGACUCUGGCAAUUCCCCUCCAAGAGCGUUGGCCUUAUUAUGUUUGACUAACAUGGAUAGGAAAACAACUCAGUGGAAACUGGAAGGAGGCAUCACGUCGUGUGGGCCCGAUUCAUUUCCUCCGCGUCCACCCUGUUAUCUCCCAAAUGGCUUCUGGAGCCGCAAAGAUCAAUAUUUGCUUUCUAAAUGGAGCUGUACAGGAGUUGAUUGUAAAUUGUAUGAUUUUGACUGUAUUUGUGUUUAGAUUGGCUGCAGUAAUGCUGGAGCGGCCUAAGUCUGAGGAGUCCUCCAUGUGUGUUGCCAUGGAGACCGAUGCAGGAGAGAGGGAAGUGGGAGGUGUCAGGGUGAGCCCCUCAGGGCUGCGCAGCAUACAAAAACACAUAGAUUCAAUUAGCACACAGCAGUCCUCUCCGGUUUCAAAAUAAUAAACUUUACUGGAAGCCCCUUCUAUAUGCGACUACAUGUUGAUGAGGAAAGAUGGCGACUGACAAAGUACAGGACUAAACACACAGACAAAGAAAAAUCUGCCUUCCUGUCUUAUCUAUCUUGUAGCUGGUUGACUCCCUUUUGUUCUCAGGGCUGUUAUCUCAGUCUCAAGGACUUUACUCUCUGGCCUAUAACAACAAUAAUCUACUACACAAAUGAACAAAAAUGAGCAUGACUGAAACCAUCUUGAAUUACAUUAUUAACACAUUGAAAAACAUACAUAUAAUAUUUGCAAUUAUCCUGACAGGAGGAGCUUAGAGGGGAGAGUUUGAAAGAACGACAGUUAAAAAUCAGUUAGGGUUUAGGUUCCGAGGAGUGAGGAGUUAGGGUUUAGGUUCCGAGGAGUGAGGAGUUAGGGUUUAGGUUUAGAGGAGUGAGGAGUUAGGGUUUAGGUUCCGAGGAGUGAGGAGUUAGGGUUUAGGUUCCGAGGAGUGAGGAGUUAGGGUUUAGGUUCCGAGGAGUGAGGAGUUAGGGUUUAGGUUCCGAGGAGUGAGGAGUUAGGGUUUAGGUUUAGAGGAGUGAGGAGUUAGGGUUUAGGUUCCGAGGAGUGAGGAGUUAGGGUUUAGGUUCCGAGGAGUGAGGAGUUAGGGUUUAGGUUUAGAGGAGUGAGGAGUUAGGGUUUAGGUUCAGAGGAGUGAGGAGUUAGGGUUUAGGUUUAGAGGAGUGAGGAGUUAGGGUUUAGGUUUAGAGGAGUGAGGAGUUAGGGUUUAGGUUCCGAGGAGUGAGGAGUUAGGGUUUAGGUUCCAAGGAGUGAGGAGUUAGGGUUUAGGUUCCGAGGAGUGAGGAGUUAGGGUUUAGGUUCCGAGGAGUGAGGAGUUAGGGUUUAGGUUUAGAGGAGUGAGGAGUUAGGGUUUAGGUUCAGAGGAGUGAGGAGUUAGGGUUUAGGUUUAGAGGAGUGAGGAGUUAGGGUUUAGGUUUAGAGGAGUGAGGAGUUAGGGUUUAGGUUUAGAGGAGUGAGGAGUUAGGGUUUAGGUUCCGAGGAGUGAGGAGUUAGGGUUUAGGUUCCGAGGAGUGAGGAGUUAGGGUUUAGGUUUAGAGGAGUGAGGAGUUAGGGUUUAGGUUCCGAGGAGUGAGGAGUUAGGGUUUAGGUUUAGAGGAGCUGGUAGAGGAAAGGAUUAGGAGGUUGUAGCUGAAAGAGAGUGAAUUGUGAAGCAAAGUUUCGAGGCUUUGGAAAGCCAGAUUAAGCUACUGGAAGUUCCUUAGCCUAGAGAGGCUGAUAAGGGAAACGAAGCCAGUAUUCCUUUAGUCUAAGGAAAGGCUAAAGAAUAAUCUGAUUAAGUAUCUGAUCAAGGGAGGAUCAGACAAGGGAGACAUCCCUGUAUUGAAACUUUGUUUGGUAAUAAG